rnacentral:rRNA from 1 species
CGUGGCUACUGUGCGGGCUGGGCACUUUGCCGUCUCUUCCCGCGGUGCUCUUCGCCGGGUGUCGCGGGUGGCCGGCACGUUUACUUUGAAAAAAUUAGAGUGCUCAAAGCAGGCCCUCGCGCCUGAAUACUGUUGCAUGGAGUAAUGAAAUAGGACCUUGGUUCUAUUUUGUUGGUCUUCGGAACUGAGGUAAUGAUUAAGAGGGACAGACGGGGGCAUUAGUAUUGCGACGCUAGAGGUGAAAUUCUUGGACCGUCGCAAGACUAACCAAAGCGAAAGCAUUUGCCAAGAAUGUUUUCAUUAAUCAAGAACGAAAGUUAGAGGUUCGAAGGCGAUCAGAUACCGCCCUAGUUCUAACCAUAAACGAUGCCAACCAGCAAUCAGUCAGAGCUCUUUUUAUGGCUCGGCUGGCGGCUUCCGGGAAACCAAAGUUUUUCGGUUCCAGGGGAAGUAUGGUUGCAAAGCUGAAACUUAAAGGAAUUGACGGAAGGGCACCACCAGGAGUGGAGCCUGCGGCUUAAUUUGACUCAACACGGGGAAACUCACCCGGCCCGGACACUGGAAGGAUUGACAGAUUGAGAGCUCUUUCUUGAUUCAGUGGGUGGUGGUGCAUGGCCGUUCUUAGUUGGUGGAGUGAUUUGUCUGGUUAAUUCCGAUAACGAACGAGACUCUAGCCUACUAAAUAGACCGGCGCGUCCUUUGGGCCGCGUCGGCGCUUCUUAGAGGGACGGGCGG